rnacentral:lncRNA from 1 species
AGGUGAUCCUAACUGUUCUUUCAAUCCGAUUUUUCGAUCGGCAAUCGUCAGGUGAUGUCUGGUUCUGCACAUAAUGCGCACGAGAUUGAUAUAAGGCUUAAUAAUAACGGCAAGCUUCUUCUAGCAGUAGUACGGUCAUGGCGGGGAUUGCUACGGAAAACAAGAAGAGGAGGGGUUUUAACUUUACAAAUGACGAGAUGGAGGCAUUAGUUUAGGCGGUGGACGAAAGGAAAAGUAUUUUAUUCGGCAAAUUUUCCCCAAAUGUAACGUCGCGGAUCAAAGCAAACAAAUGGCAAGAGGUGUCGGACGCUGUCUCAGCGGUUUGUGGGGUACUGAGGACGGUGGACGGUGUAAAGAAAAAGUGGUCGACCAUAGCGAGUGACGCCAAGACCAGAGGGACGCUACAGAAGAGGGACCAGGCAAAGACGGGGGCUGGUAUGCCAGAAGUGAAGCCUAUAACCAUGCUAGAGGAGAAGAUCCUGGCCACCAUGGGUCAAGUUUACACCCAAGGCAUUUCAACCGGCAUAGAGGUGGGCCUGCCUGAGGAGAUCCUUGAGAACGUCAGUGCCGAGGUGUCUGAAUCAACUGAGGUCAUACUGACGUUGAUGGAUUCAGAGUGUGACAGCAGGACUCUGCCAACAGCAAUAAUUAUCCCAUCACCUGCUAAAAAGAAGAAACACAUUAGCCUACAAGAGGAGCUUCUGGAGUUGGAGAAGGAGAAGCUGUUGGUGAUGCGAGAGACACUAAAUGUUGAGAAGGAGAGACUGAAAUUGGAUAAAGAAAAAUUUGAAUUCAUGAAGGAGUAUUUUAUUGACCACGGGAACAAUAUUGUGAACUUAUUUGAACAAUGAAGUGAAAUAAUUUGUACACUUAUUCAAGUUUGAUUGAGUUAAACUGUUAAUUUAUUUUUUAUAUUGAAUUAAAUAUUUUACAUUAAAUUGGUAUGUUUUCUUUUUAAUUAUCUUAUCUAAAAUAAUGUGCAAUAAGAUUGUUUCUGGCAGUUCUACCAGUCUGUGCACCAUCAUGUAUGCCAUCAUGGCCUUCCUCCUCAUCUUCAACCAUGGCCGGGACGUCCUUAGGGUCCGGGAGAUUAGCAAACCUGCAUAUGUUUUGCAACACAGCAGUGGCCUUCACGAACAUCACUGCUCUCUCAGGGGAAUAUUGAAGAUAUCCCCCACUCAUAUCAUGGCAUCUCCAUCUACAACAUCAAAAGUUAAUCAGUUUGUUUGCUUACAAUGCUUUCCUUUUUGGUGUGA